GCCUUGGGCCAGGUGGCUGCUGCCUCUUCCUCAUGCUGGGCAGGGCAAGGAGGUCUCACUGUCUUCCCGGAGGAACUGACCCAACUACCAUGCGGCGAUUGCUUAUUUUGUGCUGGGAAUUUUCACAUACCUGAUAAGAUACCGUUGUCCUAACAACCGUAUGAGUGGACAGAACCCAGACUCCCCUAGACACCUGCCUCAGUUGCUGAGUCAGAGAUGUGGGCUCUGGUUGACGGCGGAGAGCUGUGACUUGACUGCAGGCCUGAGCCCAGAAAGAGAGAGAUGCUGUUGAUGAGAUGGUGCUCCUGGAGUCUUUACAGAAGGGCUAGUGGGACAGAGCAGGAAGAGGAGGCCUGGUGUGGGAGCUGGAUGGAGGAGAAGCAAGACUAGGAAGAGCUCCAGAUAAAGGCAGCCUGUGGAAAGGCCGGGGCUGGGUGCCUGCACUGUAGCUGCCUUAAAAAUGGCCCUGAGCAAGACCUGACCAGGCGGAGCCCAGAGCUGGUGGACCAAGCGACACCUGGAUGGGGCUGUGCGGCCAUCAGCAAGCGGGGCUUGCCAAGGUUAUUGGACUCCUGGGUCUUGAGGAACACCGUGAAGAUGAGGGCUUGGGAACCCUGCCCUGCUCCUUUUGUUCCGCAUCUCCCAUGACAUCGGAAGUCCCAUGCCCAGGACAACUCGCUCUGCAGAGAACCUGGGCUCCUUUUAGAAGACACAGGCUACAGAAACAGGAGUCCUGCUGCACAUGGUUUGCUUGGCAGGCCUGCGCUUUGGGGAGUUUACUGCCUUUGCAAUAGGACGCUAACGUGCUGGCCGGGUGGGCUUCCCUGCUUUGGGGCGCCAGUCCUGUCCUCACAGAAUGUGGUACUGAAAGAGACUUAGAGACCCUGGUCCACCUCCUCCCAAGAGUUCUUUCUGUAAAAUUCCAAAGGCUGCUCCGGGCUGGCGUGGGGCACAGCAUCAUUUCCCUCAUGCUGCCCCCACUUCCUCCCACCCCCUUGUCCGCAUCCACUCCGGGCCCUGUGUAGCUUGUUCCACAUGUUCCCUGCCUCCCUCAUCCCCUUCCAGGGAGAAAGACGUUUCCACUGUGCGUUCUUCUGACUCUCCCCAGCUCAUCCACGGGGACCGAAUGAUGAGCGCUGUCUGCAGCAAGGCCUCUUGGAGAAGAGCCUGUCUUGUUUCCCCAAAGGACCAGGGUAAACCAAGGCAGGGGCUGAGCUUCUGUGGCCCUACAAAGAAGCCAGCACUGAGGGUUGACAGGAGGCAGUGGGCUGGGACACAGCAUUCCCCUCGCUCUUCCUCCCUGUCCUGUUCCCUGCCCUCUUCAGCCUCCUCUUCAUGUUUCAUGUGCCCUGAAGCUCAGCCGCAACUUCCAGAUUCCUUGGCAUGGUGUUCACAACCUCACCCCACCUUCCUCCACAUUCCUGGGUGCCGGCCACGCUGUCUGUCUAACACCGGCACCUGUGGUGGGCUUGGGCACCUCCAUGCCUGUGCACCUGCUGUUCUCUCUGCCUGGAAUACGCUUUUUUGUCUGAUAAGCUCCCACUCAUCUUUCAAACCCACAUCAGAUCCCCUUGUCUGGAGUCUGCCCUGGACCUCUGCAGAGACAGGUGGGCAAUCUCAGCGGGCGUGGCCAGCCUCUUUAUGGGAGAGAGGGUUAAUCUAACUGCACUCUAACUAAUUAUUGGUCCUACUGUCUAAUUCCCGUUCCAGAGGGAUGCCCUCAGGAGCUCCCCCUGCAUGUGGCCUGUUGUAGGCACUCAGUAAACGGUCCUGUGAGUGAACGAAUGAAGGAAUGAGAAAAGGAAACAGCUGUCCCUUCCAGGGCCCCGUCUCUGACAGCCUUGCUCAGGACAUCCUCUCCAGAGGUGGCCUUUGAGCGCUGUCUGCUGCCCUUGCCCUCAGGCUCUCAGAAGGUCCUCAAGAUGAGCUUCCACCUGCCCGGCUGCCUCCAGGGGUUUCGUCAUUGCUGGUUGCCUGUGGCUUUUCUGGCCAGGGGAGAGGACGGCUGACAAGCUCUUGCCACCCCCUGCCCCCCUCGGACCUUGGGGCGCAGAAUCCUGGGGAACACAUUUAUUGUGCAGCCCGGCUGGCCUUUGCCCGGCGCAGGUCCUGGCUUGGUGGCCUGGGGUUCACAUACAGGGACGCACAGGCUCACGGUUUACAUGAAGGACCUGGCCUCACCAAGAAGCUGAGCCCUCAGGAAGACAACAGCCUUUGGGUACUUCCUGUAGCUAAUGCUGAGCAGAGGAAGGAGAGUCCCCCCUCCAGACUCACCCAUCCAAGGAGCUGGUUUCAGGAAACUCAAGAAAUCAUAUGCUGCAGAAGGUUUGGAAAAGGUUGCCCAGGUUUUACAUGAAGAAAGGGACUCUAUCUGUGUGAUUCACCACUGAGUUCCCAGUACGCUGCAUGCUGCAGGCAUAUAGAAGCUCAGAUUCAUAGCUGAUAAAUCUUAAAGAGAGGAAAACACAGUCACAGGGAGUUCCCUUGCAUUGCCUGAAAUUCCACAGCAAGUCAGCGACAAAGCUGGGAGGAGACUCUGUCCUUCCAACUCACAGGCCAGUUCUCUGCGGGAAGCCGUUGUCUGUCUCCUCUUAGGCUCCUUUGGACGCCUCUGGGUGUCAGUUCUCCCAGGGGAAGCAGCGGCUGGGGUUGCGUCUUGAAGCUCGAACUGGCUUUGAGACUGUGCCUGAGACAGGGUGGGCAGGACUCAAAGGUCUGAAAAAGCUGGGAAGGGCCUGAUUUUGGUAAAAUUGGGCCUUCCUGUAGCAACUGGCAGGGGGAGUGACUUGGUCCUCGGGGCAGGAGUUCCCGUGGCCCAGAAUUGCCCAGCAGUCAAAUGUUAGGACACCGGUGUCUGGAGGAGCUCCUGGAAAGGGUCUUCCCGCAGCCUGGCCCUGUGGAGUUGAGGGAGGUUUGGGGAUCUCUCCUCCAGGACAGGCUCCAGAGAGCCCGCAGCAAAAGGGACAGUGUGCCUGCCCCGUGCCUCCCCUGUAGGGCUCUGCUCUGUUUCUUAAGGGGAAGGCUUCUAGCUAUAGUUUUGUGAGCUCCGUUCAGAAAGCUGCCUUCCCCAUGGACAACCCUGACUGGAUCAGAAUGUGAGCAGGAGGGAAACUGACUUUCUAAGAGUCUGUGCUUGGACUGGCCAGCCUUUGUUUCAAGGUCCUGAGAGCCAUGGGACUGAGAGUGUAGGACUGAAGCAGACUUUUGAACACCUACGUUUGCUGUGCCUCAGUUUCCCCACCAGGAGCCUGUUGUCCAGGGGUUUGGAAAGCCGAUCCAGGAAAACACCUGCGACUGUAGGCAGCUCUGGUCCUUCCGAGGCCCUGCUCAUCAGACUUCCCCAGGGUCAGACAUCCUUCCGCACAGCUCUUGUUCAGUCUGUGGCCCAAACAGCCUAGGGCAUGAUGGAGGCCCGGAACAAUGGUGGUUUUGCUUACACAGCGUGCUUGGCCGCUGGCUGGACUCACGCAAUGCUCACGGAACCGGUGUGGGCUGCCACAGCUUCCCUGUGGGACAUUUAGCUCCCUCACUUCAAGUCCAUCAAAGGACUUGUUAUCCUGGUCCCCUUUCUGUCCGUUGUUCCUCUCCCCUUGGGGCUGUCCUCUCACCCUCUCCUGCCAUCCCUCCUCUUUCCAAGCUCUUGCCCCACAGAACUGCAAGGACUCUGAGACCUGGGACGUCUCACGGAGCCGGCUUUUGUCAGGCCAGUCUCCAUCGCUCUGGGGAGUCUGAAGGCUUUUUCUUUUAAAGAUAAGUUGGGGAGAGGGUUAGAAGAGUGCUGAGAAGUGACGCCUGUUUCUUCUUUCUUUUCCUUUCCCCCUCUGGGGCUCAGAGACCAGGGUUUUUUUCUUUUUUACAGUACAAUUUGGCAGGCCCCAUCUUUUUCUGACAGAAAAAAAAUAACAGGCAUAUUUUGGGCGAUUACUCAACUGGGGUCCUUUGUGACAGGAUAUGCAGCUGCGUGACUAAUGGAGCUGGCUUUCUCCUGGCUUCCUUCCCCUUUCAGAGUUCUUGUUUACUGUGCUAUACCAAAAAAAAAAAAAAAUGCCAUAAGCUACAGAUUUUUAUUAAAAAAAUUGCCUUGAGAGAUACUCAAAGGCAAUAAAUCCUGGGAUACUCCAUUGCCAGGGCCGUGAGUCCACACCCUCUUCCACUUUUUCUUUUCAAAUGCUCAAGCCCUUGACUCAUGACAUGUGAAUCUUCUUCUCCCACCCCCACAUCCCUGUUUUCUUCUGAACAUAUGUCCAACAGAUCGUGUGUGUGAGUGUGAGUGUGUGUGUGUGCGUGCGCGCGUGCACGUGGUGGGGGAAGGGAGCAAGAUGGGAACCAUAUUUUUAGUGCUUAACUCAGCAAUUGCUAAAGGAAGGAAUAAUGACUUCCAGGGGCCUCAGGGCCUUUUUUUUCCCAAGGCCUAUGCAUUUCCAUAAUCUACGGCAAUUUUGUGGUGUAAGCAAAAGUUAUUACAAAACAUGGAACUAGCUUAACGAGGAAGGGUAUGUUCUAAACGGGGGAACUGUCUCUUUACAGAAGAAAUCCACGUUUGGAGGGCUUUGGAAUUCAGAAUCCUCAGGCUUCCCAUAGAACUUUUGGAAGAGACUUUCGCUAGCUUGUAGCGUUCAACAGCUGGAGCUGGCCUUUUAACUUUCCUAGAGAUCAACAAGCUUUUCGUUUCAAAAGGUAUAUGGCCUGUGGAUGGGAAAAAUUGACUAGCGACUUAGCUUUGAUAGAGACAGAUUGGUGUAGAUGAGGCACAAGAUUUGUGGCCAGGUGAUGGGUUGGAGCCUUGAUUGUGAAAUGGAGCAAGUCAUUUAAGAUCUGUAGGUCUCUGAUGUUAAGACAAGGAUAGCAUCUCCUCCUGCCUAGGUUGCUGGCAAGAAAAGUGAGACGAUAGCAGUCCAAGGCGUGGGGGGAGCUACAAAGAAGUAUGCAGUGAUCACUUCUAAUGCUCCUUCAUCCAAAGGGUGGGCUCAAGCAAGCAUUCAACAGAUGAGAGGGGCUUGUUCCAUGAGAACUAUGAUGCCAACUGAUGUGCAGGGGCGAGGGUACUCAUACGGUGACCCAGGAUGCAAUAUUGCAGGGGUGUUUUUGAGGCUGAUCUGGCCUCCAACUUUGCCCACACCCUAGUCAUCUUCCACGCAGGUCUCAGAAUCAGAACUUCGAUCAUGUUCCUUUCAGGAAACUGUCUCAUCGAACCCAGACAAAAGGCUCCGCUAACCUCAUUGUGCCUGCCUUUUCUUCUGUUAUGAAUUCAUUUUUUGGCGUGUACUCUGCCCUAGAGAGGUGAAUACCAGACACAGUCUACUCUGGCCCCUGGCCCAACAUUUUUACUGGAUGUUGGUUGGAGGCCCCCCCUCCUCCUUUACCUUCCGUCGGUUCCUCUUCCUGCUCCUCUCUGUUAAACCUUGCUCAUUUGUCAUUUCUUUUAAGAUUCCAUCUACAACUUAGCUCCUCCUAGAGUCUCCAUGACCAAGGACUCCUUGAGUGGACACUCCAAACCCUCCAGUAAACCAUAGCAACUAUCUUUUUUACUCCUCAUAGCUCAAGUCUAAUGUCCUCGGCAAGGGAAGUUGACUUGAUUUUGCCAGAGGGUAAACUGAGGCACCAGUCAGGGAACUAACUGGCCAGGGAUUACACAGCAAGUCCGCGACACAGACAGGAAUAGAAACCCCACAUCCUGAUUCCAUUUCGCCUGGAGUUUAAAGAGGCACCUUAGCUUGGAUAUCCCAGAAUAGCUUCUCCCAGGCCGACCAGCUGUGAAGUGAUGUGUUGCAAGGGUUAUUUUUUGCCUUGGCUUAAUGCUUAAAAAAACACCCCAAACUCCUAAAAUCGGCUAAGAAAAUCCGUUUCUCACAAUGCCCUCAGCUUGCGGAGUUUAAACCCAGUAUAUUACAUCAUGAACGCCUCCUGGCCUCCCUCUCACUCACAGUGACGCUCAGGUAUCUGAGUUAAGCUCAGAAAUCAUAGUUUAUUGAAGGAAACAGAUCAUUAAGUCACUCCACUGGACUGAAGCCGUCGACAUUGCUUAUUUGGAGAAGCUGAGCGUUGAAUAAUGCUCCCUUGAUUCAUGUGGACUGGACUAGCAGGAGCUGUUCAGCGAAGGGUGUGGCCAUCAGAUGGCAUGAGGCCCAUGGAGGCUGCUAGGAAGAGGGGAAGUGACAGUGGUGUGCUGGAGCUGGCUUGCACUGGCUUGUGAAGGCUGAUGGUUAAAUUUUCAGGAAUUUUGUGAUCCAGUCGGUAAACACAGCCAUUAUGAAAAAUUAAAUUGCAUAAACUUGCAAUUAAAUAAAUUAUAUUAACAACAAAGGUAUUAAAUACUAAAAAAAGAUCACAUUGUAAUCAUUCUGCUACAGUUUACUAUUAUCUAUGCUCUUGAUUUGUACGCCCAUUAUGUCUCUACGGUGGGAAUACCACACAGUGGGACGCUGCUGUGAACCUCUUCCCAAUUCCACACUCAGUAAUUGCACGUCAGGUAGGUUGAAAUCAGCCGUGGUAAGAGUAUUUACACCACAGAAGUUGGCAAACUCUACGAUUCAGGGUUUGAUUUAUUGUUUUGUUGCUUGUCUAGACUUAAGAAAGUGGUAGAGAACAUGUUAAUCAAGUAGAUUAAACAUAAACGUGUGCCAUAUCUUUUGCAACGACAUUGUGAAUAACACAGAGUCAAGGAACUAUUCUUCCAGGAUUCAAAAACGGUUAUCCAAUUCAGCAAAGAAGUCGCUCCUGUCAUUGAAAAAUGAAGUUCUGAAAUAGGUAUUUGUUGUUUUACUUUUUCUUACUUAUUAUUGUAAAUGCAAUAAUCAACCAACACUUAUGUCAAUUCUACACUUGGAAAGCUGAUUAUCAAACAUUUACCAGCACACUGGAGUGUAUAUGGACUACCUCCUUGGGGUCCCAGAGAAAGAACAUUGUAGUAUAGGUAGAACUCACCAGUAAGGAGCAUGUCGGGGGGACAGCCAUGGAAUAGGAGAUACUAAGCGCUGGGAAGACAGCAGCACAGAUGAUACAAUUUAGGGCCAGCAGCCAGAGACCAGCCCAUCAGGAUGGGCAUGUGGAAAAUAAACCAGAUAGGCUAAAUUGUACUACUGUAUCAACAAAGUUAGAUAGUGAAAAAAAAGCCAUGAUGACUUCUAAAUUCAAGGUGAGGAUUAAUAUCGUAUAUUCACAGCGCCUUACAGUUCUACAGCCUUCUUACGCAUGAGCUCAUAUGACCAUCAGAAAGAACUGUGGGGUAAAUGGGUAAAUUACCUAUCACCAUCAUACCCAUUUACAAAUGGGAAACUGAGGCAAUGGGUGGUUAACUAGUUUGCCCAAGAUUACUCUUUCUACAUAAAUGGCCAAGUUCGGUCUUGAUGGAGAAACAGAAAUGGCACAGACGUUUGGGGCAGUCACACCUGGGUUAAAAACCUAAGCUUGUCAUUUAUAUAACUUCGGUACGGUAACUUUACCUUUUUAAGCCUUGGGUUUUUGUUUUUUACUUUUUAUUGAGAUUAUGAUAGUUUACAACCUUGUGAAAUUUCAGUUGUACACUUUUAUUUGUCAGUCAUAUUAUAGGUGCACCACUUCACCCUUUGUGCCCACCCCCUAUGCCCCUUUUCCCCCGGUAACCACUAAUCUGUUCUCUUUGUCCACGUGUUUAACUUCCACAUAUGAGUGGAGUCAUACAGAGAUUGUCUUUCUCUAUCUCGCUUAUUUCACUUAACAUAAUACUUGGGGUUUUUUUUAAACCUAGAGAAUGGGGAUGAUAAUGCCUAGGUCACAAGUUUGUGGUGAGGGUUGGUUUAAAUGAGAUAAUAGGUGGCAAGGACCUGGUCCUCAGGAGGCCGUCGUAAAUGUUCAUUUCAAGGGAGGGAGAAACCAUGAUGUUUUAAAAUUAUUUACAUUUGAUUUUGAAAUGCAGAAUAAAACUCUUUUGACUAACAUAUUUACUUUUCUACUUAUAUUUUUUAGGUUUGGGUAAAAUUACUCUGCGUGGUUUUAGGCCAAACCAAUCUGAGGAGGUGGGGGCAGGGCCAGGGAGGAGGCAGAGGAGGCCCAGAAGAGAGCUAGCCUGGGACUCAGGUUUCACAAAGGCCUCUUUGCUCACUGGUAAUGGAGAGAAUCAAUACACGUUGUCACGUUCAGCAACACACAGCACCAUUCUUAGCCCCAACAGCUAGAGCUCCAGGUGGACUUCCCUUUCUAGACCUGGCCUCUAUGUCACCACCCGCAGAAAUGAGGAGGCCCAGCCUCUGACCCCUCUAUCCCCUAAAACACUCCCAGCCUCAGCACCACACUCUGCCUUGGGGAGGACUAUCUCCCAGGCAGCAGAGGCCUCGGCCAUUCCUCAUCUCCCUGGCCAGAGAGGCAGCCCUCACCCACCAGGACUCCUCCUCUUUCCUCCUGGAUUUACCUUUCUUCUUAGCACUCAUCAUCCUGUGCCAUACCAUGUAAUUUACUAGACUGGGAGCUCCAUGAGGGCAUUUGUUUAUUUCAUCUGGGACCUAGAACAGUGCCGGGGAACACAGAAGGUGCUCAGUAAGUAGUUACUCAAAGAAGAGGGUGUCGUCACCCCACUCCCGUUUUUUUCCUAUUUCAAAUAACAAUCCAUUUUUUGAUCAACUUCACUGGACUCAGAUUUGGCUUAUGUCUCACGAGGGUAAACCAUGGUGGUGAAGGGUGUCGUCAAAGGCCUGAGGCAGAGCUCCAUGAAGGCAUCCCUGAAGCUGGUCCUCUGACCAGCCCUCAGACACUGAACGAGCAAUCCAGCUCAGUGGUUAAGAAGAUGCUGGUUCAAAUCCAGCCCCUACCACUGAUUAGCUAUGCAACCUUAGGCAACUUAUUUCUUCUCUCUGAGCCUCGUUUUUCUUAUCUGUAAAAUGUGGGUAAAAAUAUCCAUAGGUGGUGGCAUGGAUUAAUGAGAAAAAGCAUGGUGAGUGCUUAGCACACAGCCUGGCAUGGGGAAAGGGAGCCAGUAUUCGUCGCACAGUGAAGGUGGUGGAGGCGCAGGAGGGGGAUUUGGGCAGCGUGGAAGAGCAAUUCUAGGACAGCUGGAAAAGCCACACGUGCUGAAGACCUUGGCUUCUGUAGACACAGAUGACACCUGAUCAGCACAGCAUGGGGAACUGCAAAGGGGCUCUGGAGCAGUGACACUGCCUCAGGAGGGCCUGGUGAAGCUUUGGGGCUGUCACCAUCGCGGCCUAGCUGGACCCAGAGGCUGUUGUAGUGACUUUGUGACUUCGUGUAACUUCAUGUAUGGUGUCUAACACAGCUUUCUCUCCUGGGCAAAAUAAUGGCAAACGUGCCUCAACAUGUAGGGAGGGUACCACGGCUGAAGCCACAGCUGAGAAUCAAGGACACAGGAGUCACGAGAUGCACAGAGGUGAGGACUACAGGGUUUAGAACAAUCGGGAGGACUCCUGGGAGGAGCCAUAGAACAAAGAGAGAGGGCGGCCUCAUUUUCCUCCCACGAGACAGUCAUGGUUUCAUUAUGGGAGGUGAGUGUCCAGGGGGCGUUGGAGGGAAGGGACAUGGUGAAGAGGCAGGAGGAGAGACAUCAAGGACAGGAAGCGGCAUGUAUGACAGCGUCAAGUCCGACGUGAAGAGGCCUGGGAGGGGAAGCAGGGCAAGUAGGGGUACCCAGGGAGCCACAGUCUAUCCGGCUUCGGGCAGGCCUGCAUAUAUCAAUCGCUGGCUGCACAGGCUGCCCCCUGAACUGGUCCCCCCGGGCCGGCCCAAUUUAGGCUCAAAGCUCCGCGUUCUGCUUGGUAUUUUAAAUGCUGUGGGUGCUCAAGACAGUAUAGGAUAUAUGAAGACCGGCCUGGAACAGGAGCCAGGAGAUUUAGUUUGAGGUGCCCGAAAUGUCGUUUUCUAACUUCGAUCUUGAGCCUCAGUUUCCUUGUCUGUGACACAGGGAGGAGCAUGCCUGGCUCCUUCACCGGGUCACUGCCAAGGCUGGAUGAGAUAGAGCAUUGAAAGGACGUGGUCAAUCUCUCAGGCCUGUCUGCCAUUACCCCCUGGGGCCUUUGGCUGUGGGUGCUCCGCGGACCACUCACUUCAGCAAGCCCACGGGGUAACGUGGCCCCUGGAGAGCAGCAGAGCUCUUCUGGUUGAUUCCGACCUCCUGCCAGCCUGCCUGCCUGUGGAGACGCGGCCCCUGGAAGCUGGGCAGAGAGCCUUGUCAGCCAGUCAGUGCAACUCAGGCGCUAAGCCAUGGCUGGACGUCCGCAAAGCACUUGGGGCUUUUUGCUUGAAAGCCACUGGAGAGAGCCAAAGCAUAUCUUCCCUCCUGUAUUCCUCAGCAGGGGGCUUCUGCCUCGCCCCAGAAGCACCUGUGCGGGUAUAGACACGCACACCUCCUGGACACUGAGUCUACCCCUGAUAGUGUGUGACACAGUGCAAAUUCCACUCUCCUGCAGCUACCUCUUCAACUACAGGCAUUCCAUGUAGCCUUAAUCUCCCCGGGCCUCAGUUUCCAGAGCUGCAAAUAGGAGCCAGAGAUGCUGUAAAUCCCCUACCUGCUGGGAAAUCUUCUGAAAGCUAUUAUGGAUAGUUUUAGAUUCUCUGGGACCCCAUGGGCCAGUCUGCAUUCCCAGACCAAAGCAGCCAUUCCCUCAUUCCAGCUCAGAGCGUUUGGUGUCCCCAGUUGUCACCCACUGUAUGGCUCUAGAGACAGCCUGCCAGGACAGGGUUCCAGCUUCCACUUACUAGCUGUGUGACUCUGGGCAAGUCACUUUAACCUCUCUGUGCCUAUAUUUUCU
ensembl:lncRNA